UUACUAGUUACUGGGUGCACGGUGUUCGGCGUUCGACUGGUCAUGACCGUUUUCCCAAGAUGGCGCCUGCCUGCAUACGCGAACGGUACAGUGUUUAUAAACUAUCUUUUUAAUAAACUUUCUGUACACUUACAAAGUUCUCAAUGCUUUGGUUUACAUAUCUGGACCCUUAUUAUGCUACCAUGGAAAUGUGGUGCUAUUUUGACUACUACUAGCGUUACAAGCUACUUAGCAAUUUGCGCUCAAACUAGUCCCAUUCGAUU